AAAUUGAAGAGUUUGAUCAUGGCUCAGAUUGAACGCUGGCGGCAGGCCUAACACAUGCAAGUCGAACGGUAACAGGAAGCAGCUUGCUGCUUCGCUGACGAGUGGCGGACGGGUGAGUAAUGUCUGGGAAACUGCCUGAUGGAGGGGGAUAACUACUGGAAACGGUAGCUAAUACCGCAUAACGUCGCAAGACCAAAGAGGGGGACCUUCGGGCCUCUUGCCAUCGGAUGUGCCCAGAUGGGAUUAGCUAGUAGGUGGGGUAACGGCUCACCUAGGCGACGAUCCCUAGCUGGUCUGAGAGG
rnacentral:rRNA from 1 species